rnacentral:lncRNA from 1 species
GAGGAGCAGGCAGCUGUGGUGCUGAGAUAGGAGCUUGAAAUGCUUCAUGGUGCCAAGACUGUCAUAAACGGCUCCUGGGGUCUGAAAAAACGACAGCAGGAUUCAGCGUUCCUCUGACAACCACUCAGAAAAUAGAAUGUGAAGAAGAAGGAGGAAGGGAAGAUGCGGGGCCAGCCAUCAGAAUGUUCCCUGUGGCUCCAUGGAUGCCUAGAAAUGCUAGUCACUUCAAGGGCACAGAGAAAGGGACUAGAAAAUCCUCUGGAUGGGCCUUCAAAGGGAUGAAAUAUGGACCAUUAGCUGAGUCAGCUGACUCUUGUGUGAUUGGACCUCUGCCCAGUCCUCCCACACCCUCUGGUAUCGUCUUGCCCCUCCAUCUGGGGGAUCCAGCCCAUGGCCUUUUUGGUUUCUGAGGAAUCUUGCCUACAGUCUUCCCUCUGCUUGGGAUGUUCUUUACCCAAACACAGCGACUUGAUAAACACGGUAAUGUACUGCUGUACGCAACUAU